CUGGAGAGGACACAGUUCUUUAGAUCUUCACAAGGUAUAUGGCUGGAACUGACCUGGUGCCCAUGUGGACCACCCUUUUAUACCCAGGGGGAGGAGUCAAGGGUGGAGUCGGGGCAACUGAGUGGAACUGAGUGUUUACUGGCCGGAUGCCCAUUCUGAUGUCUACAUGGAGUUUU